GAAUCAAGCUUUGAAACAAAAGGUUCCCGCCAUAUGCAAAAGCUAGAUAAGAUAGGGGAGUGACAUCAUCUUGGUUCUUCACUGACUCUCCCACACCCAAGGAGACUCCUGGAAAUGCUCGAAGAACAAAGACUGAAUUGGGGGAAAUGCUAGACCCAGGCUAAAGGGGUUUUUAGCUGGUGAAUGGAAGACCUAGGGAUUCCAAGCUGUAAGCAAGUGCAGCUUCCCCUUAAGAAUCUGCAGCCUGCUUAUAUCAUUAUUUAGGUAAACGAAGAAUCGUAUUGAUGGUCCAAUUUCUCCACACCCAGAACAUAACCAUGGCCACCAGCACUUGAGCUAAGAAAUUAAUUUCUUUAACUGUUGAACUCUCAAGUGACUGGAGAAUGAGCUAUGAUCUCAGAAAACUCACACACAGUUCCAGACCCAGCUUCAGGGACAACAGAACCAUACGCU